CGGUGAGUAAUAUAUCGGAACGUACCUUCAGGUGGGGAUAACGUAGCGAAAGUUACGCUAAUACCGCAUAUUCUGUGAGCAGGAAAGCAGGGGAUCGCAAGACCUUGCGCUGAUUGAGCGGCCGAUAUCAGAUUAGCUAGUUGGUGAGGUAAAGGCUCACCAAGGCGACGAUCUGUAGCGGGUCUGAGAGGAUGAUCCGCCACACUGGAACUGAGACACGGUCCAGACUCCUACGGGAGGCAGCAGUGGGGAAUUUUGGACAAUGGGCGCAAGCCUGAUCCAGCCAUGCCGCGUGAGUGAAGAAGGCCUUCGGGUUGUAAAGCUCUUUCGGCCGGGAAGAAAUCGCACAGGUUAAUACCCUGUGUGGAUGACGGUACCGGAAUAAGAAGCACCGGCUAACUACGUG
rnacentral:rRNA from 1 species